CUGACUCCUGGCUUUUCCUUAUCAUUGUGUCUCUUUCUGUUUCCCUUGACCUCGGCUAUUCCUGACUAUUCUUUGGUACGUUAUUCGGCCAUUCUAAGGUCCGGUAUAUGUUAUCUAUCAGUCCUCUGUGUUACACAAUUCUACAUGCUGGAUCAUUCUGUAACCCUGACAAUAUCUAAGCCGUUAGCUACUACCCAGAGAUGUCAGCUAUGCCCCUAUGGAGAAGAAAUGCCUGGCUCUGUUAUGGGCAUUAAAGAAACUCCAACCUUAC